CACAGCAUUAAAAUGUUAAAAUCAAAAGGGUUUGGGCACUGAGGUUAAUUCAACUGCUAAACCUUUUGUUACCCCAUCCGCUGAAAUGUCAUUACUUGUACUUCCCAGAGCUCGGGGCACAGUAACCUGCAUGGUUUAGAAGGGAAAACUGAGGCACUGAAGCAACUGGCAGAGUGAGGCAGUGACUCGGUGGCAAAGCUGGAACUGAAACUUCCUGGGAGGACGAUGGCAAAAGCAGCCCAAGCCGUCGCAGUAGUGUCUCACGGCGAGCGAGCGGCUCGGUGGAGGAGCUCCUUACCGAGUCCUCCUGUCAGCCGGGCAUGUCGCCAGCAGUACGGGAGGGUCUGGCUGGUGCUUAUCUCUGCCUUGUUUCUUGUGGAGGCUGAACCUCUGCAGAAGUCUGAAGAUGAGAUUUUUAUAUUACUGGGCAGGAGCUGUGCUUUUUCUCAUUUGCAUAGUCUACGAAACAGCUGUUGUGUGUUGACAUGAGACGCAAGAGGCAGUUUCAGCCAGCUAUGGAGAAAAGGCAUCCCCGCUGCAACACUAGCCGUCUUCCAGCCCGAAGGUUUCUCGCAGCCCGUCCUGCGGAGGGGACCGUCCUGAAAUCCAAUUAGGCUUUUAAAGAGAGGAAUCUAAACACCUGGGACCGUCGUAGCCAAGCCUCAUGCCGUUUAAGGAAAAGAGAGUCUGGACUGCUAUUUUUGUAACUGAUUAAUUAGAGUUUAAGUUGACUAGCUUCUCUUUUGAUACCUCAGUCCAGACCGGCCUCGAAAAGGUCACAGUUGUUCCCUUAUUGCCCAUUCCCAUUCUAGUCUCCCGGUGAUCACACAUUUUCAGGAGUAUCAUAAAAAGCAUUGCUACUUUUCUGCUUUGUUUCUAUUAAUUAUUCUCUCCUCUUACCUCCAUUUUACCUGUGCACUAAGGAAGAGAUCUCAUUCCACAGGACGGUGGCUCACCCAGAAGCUGUACUGGCGUGCCUUAAACACAACAAAAUCUCUUCUCCUUCCUGAGUCUUCAGCAGGUUAUUGAGCGAUUGUCGGCGUUUGCCUCGACAUCCCAGGGGUAUCAGAGCACAGUCGCGUUAAACGCCGUACGUCGCACUUGUCAGUCGCCGUCUCCUCUCUUCAGAGCUUUUCAGGAGGCCAAGGUGAAUUAAAACAAAAAGGAGAGAUUUUGUGCAUUUCUUUCUCUUUCGGCUCUCUGUUGCCAAAGGCAGCAGGCGAGCGAAUGGCCCGUUAUCGCCUGCUGAGCGGUGGAGCCUGGGGCUGAACACGCUAGGAACACGCAAGCUGGAUUGCAGCUGUUUUGCUCCCUGCUUAUAUUCAGAGACCAAAAGCCUUUGAUGGGAGCAGAGAGCAGCAUCGGAGGCGAUUCCCUUCCCGAUAAAUGUGCUUGGGAUCGCUUGUCCUUCUCCAGUUUGAGAAUAAUUCUCACCUACUUCCAGCUUUUUUGAAGGACAGCUGCAUUAUCUUCAACUCCUUAAGAGAGG
rnacentral:lncRNA from 1 species